rnacentral:rRNA from 1 species
UACGGGGGGGGCAAGCGUUGUUCGGAAUUACUGGGCGUAAAGGGUUCGUAGGUGGCUUGCUAAGUCAGACGUGAAAUCCCUCAGCUUAACUGGGGAACUGCGUCUGAGACUGGUGAGCUUGAGUGCAGGAGAGGAACGCGGAAUUCCAGGUGUAGCGGUGAAAUGCGUAGAUAUCUGGAGGAACACCGGUGGCGAAGGCGGCGUUCUGGGCCAGUUCUGACGCUGAGGCGCGAAAGCGUGGGGAGCAAACAGG